AGCUCCAAUAGCGUAUAUUAAAGUUGUUGCGGUAAAAAGCUCGUAGUUGGAUUUCUGUUGAAGCUGUCCGGUCCAUACCAUGUAUGCGCAUCUGGCUCGGCUUCGGCAUCCUCUCGAUAGACGUUUCUGCGCUUGAUUGCGUGGAGCGGAUUUCGGGACUUUUACUUUGAGGAAAUUAGAGUGUUCACGGCAGGCUUUCGCCAGAAUACAUUAGCAUGGAAUAAUAAUAUAGGAUUUCGAUUCUAUUUUGUUGGUUUCUAGGAUUGAAAUAAUGAUUAAUAGGGACAAUUGGGGGGCAUUCGUAUCAACGCGUCAGAGGUGGAAUUCUUGGAUUGCGUUGCGACGAACUAC
rnacentral:rRNA from 1 species